GUGGUGAUAACCUAAGCAGAUGUGUUCUAACAUUUAUCAAAUGAUAAAUAUCAUGUGACAGUUGUAUAAAUAUAAAAAUUUUAUGUCUUCUCUGUUAUGCCUGUUUUGUCUACAAAAGUCUAACAAACUGAAAUUCAAUUUAAAAAUUUCUCAUUUUUUAGUUUCUAUUGAAUUCUUGUUUUAUUUAUAUCUGUCCAACAAUAUUUUCUUUUAUUUCCCCUUCAAACAUAACAUUCCUUUAAUUAUUCUUUUUUCCUUUUUUUUCAUCUUGUAUCCUCCCCAUCAUAACCAUCCCCACUUCACUUUGCUGUAUUGCCUCUUAUAUUUUUGUCUCCUCAAUUGAUAUUACAUUCUUGUGUAUCUUAAGUUUCAAAAUGGUCCAAUGCAUUCUCAACGACAAAAACAAAUCCUAUGGUCCUUUGCAUCCUCAAUGACAAAAAAAAUAAGAAAACAAUUUGCAUAUCCAUGUCACUUUUUCAAUACAAUAAGCUCCAUAAAAUCAUAUAAAUGGUUAUUGCAACAAAACUUAAUAAA
rnacentral:lncRNA from 1 species